UGCCAGCAGCCGCGGUAAUACGUGAGCCCCGAGCGUUGUCCGGAAUCACUGGGCGUAAAGGGUGCGUAGGCGGCCUUGUUAGUCGUGUGUUAAAGACCGAUGCUCAACAUCGGGAAGGCAUACGAAACGGCAAAGCUAGAGUGUGCAAGAGGUAUAUGGAACUCAUGGUGUAGGGGUGAAAUCCGUUGAUAUCAUGGGGAACACCAAAAGCGAAGGCAAUAUACUGGUGCACUACUGACGCUGAGGCACGAAAGCCAGGGUAGCGAAUGGGAUUAGAUA
rnacentral:rRNA from 1 species